CCAGCACCUGCGGUAAUUCCAGCUCCAAUAGCGUAUAUUAAAGUUGUUGCAGUUAAAAAGCUCGUAGUCGGACUUCUGGCCGUGUCGGACGGUCCGCCGCAAGGUGUGCACUGUUCGGGGCGGCCAUCCUCUUGAGGACCGCGUGUGCCCUUUACUGGGUGGGCGCGGGACUCAGGACCUUUACUUUGAAAAAAUUAGAGUGUUCAAAGCAGGCUUACGCUUGAAUACAUUAGCAUGGAAUAAUAAUAUAGGACUUCGGUUCUAUUUUAUUGGUUCUGGACCGAAGUAAUGAUUAAUAGGGACAGUCGGGGGCAUUCGUACUCAACAGUCAGAGGUGAAAUUCUUGGAUUUGUUGGAGACGAACUACUGCGAAAGCAUUUGCCAAGGAUGUUUUCAUUGAUCAAGAACGAAAGU
rnacentral:rRNA from 1 species